rnacentral:miRNA from 1 species
CUCAGUUUAGAAGUGUGCCUCG